GUUCCCCGGGAGCCGUUGCUUGUACCCGUCGCCCGGGUUCCCAGGGCGCCAGCCUCGGGCGGAAGGCUGGGGCACUCGCCCAGUGCGCGUCCGCACAGCCUGCUCCCAGCAGUUCUGCGUCAGACGACUCCUGGCUUCUGAGUCCUUCACCUCGCUUGGCCUUGGCACCAACCUUCCCUCGGCCGAAGGUUGCACUCGUGAGUGAACAGUUCAAGCUCCUCUGUGACUUCUGCAGGGAGCUGUCGCUGUGUCUCUGCUUCGAUUUAUCAAAGCAGCUGUUAGGGGCGUCCCUCACCUCCCUGUUUGGGGGCUGCCUGUUCUGCAGGAGCGAGAACCUCCCCUCCUCAGUUUUAGGCUAGGUGUAGACCAGAUAAAUGUUGCUUGCAGAGCUUCAUAUUCUCCACUUGUCUUUUCUUGCUUGCCUCCUCCCCUGCCAACUCUGUAGACCAAUAUCAGGGUCUUGCUGUGUACCUAGACUGGCUUAGAACUUAAGAUCUUCCUUCCUCCUUCUCCCAAGUGCUGUGAUUACAGGCAUGUACCACCAUGCCUGGCUGACAUCUUUUGUUUAAGCAACUAGAUUUCUUUCACAUGGAACAUAAAGAGCCUGAACUGACAUAUUUUUUGAGCUUGGGUGAGUUAUUACCCAAUUUCUUCAUCUAUUAUUUGGGGAGAAUAAGAUGGACCUCCCAGGCAGCUGUAAGGUUUAAAUAACAUGUAAAUUUAUACUUAAAAUAGGAUUGCUAUUCGUGAUGUAAAAAUUUUAGUGUUGGAGACGGACAGGAUUUAUUUGCCUUACAAACAGUGCUUGUGGCACACAGGGUUUCAGAGGCCCUCUCAGGCCCUCCCAGGAUCUGCAGUUAUAGGUUGGGAAUCACUGCUAUCACUGCUCCAGAGGUUAACUUUUGAGCAGGGCAACAGGUACUUCCCUGUGCCCCUUCAAUCUAGUGCAUUCUUUCUCUAAGAGCCUAGUCAUGUUGCAAGGGUCCUCCCAUCCCAUUCCUACCUUAACUGGCCUGAGUACAGGUUCAUUCCAAGCAAGAGCCCCAUUCCCUAUUUCACUGAUUCCAACCUUGCUCAGGAGGUGGAGUGAUUGGAGAUUAUUUCUGUUGUAGAACCAGGAACACCCUUACCAACAGGAACUAUGGCUGUCGUUUAUUCACAUGGAAUACAAUCACAAUUUGUCAGGGAAAAAAAAAUGCUAACUGCCUGAGAGUUGGUGAGUUUUUCCUUUAACAUCCCUCUACUAGUACUAAUUCACUUCUUACUUGUGAGUUUCUA